rnacentral:rRNA from 1 species
AUUGAACGCUGGCGGCAGGCCUAACACAUGCAAGUCGAGCGGGGAAAAGUAGCUUGCUACCGGACCUAGCGGCGGACGGGUGAGUAAUGCUUAGGAAUCUGCCUAUUAGUGGGGGACAACAUCUCGAAAGGGAUGCUAAUACCGCAUACGUCCUACGGGAGAAAGCAGGGGACCUUCGGGCCUUGCGCUAAUAGAUGAGCCUAAGUCGGAUUAGCUAGUUGGUGGGGUAAAGGCCUACCAAGGCGACGAACGGUAGUGGGUCUGAGAGGAUGAUCCGCCACACUGGGACUGAGACACGGCCCAGACUCCUACGGGAGGCAGCAGUGGGGAAUAUUGGACAAUGGGGGGAACCCUGAUCCAGCCAUGCCGCGUGUGUGAAGAAGGCCUUUUGGUUGUAAAGCACUUUAAGCGAGGAGGAGGCUACCGAGAUUAAUACUCUUGGAUAGUGGACGUUACUCGCAGAAUAAGCACCGGCUAACUCUGUGCCAGCCGCCGCCGUAACAC